GCAGAUGUAGUACAACGGCUAGUACGAGGCCUUGCCAAGGCUUAGACGGGAGUUCGACCCUCCUCAUCUGCUCCA
rnacentral:tRNA from 1 species